UACAAAACCACCAUAGCAACGCCCCCAAAUCCUUAUCUAUUCUUCCAGCCAUAGAAGAACCAGGAGAACACAUUACCAAGGGCCACAUGGACAGUGUCACUGUCUCUGUGCAUUGCACGCAGAUAUCGUAAGCAUUGCAUUCUAGACUGAGUAAAGCUGGUAGCAUUUCACAGAGCUUGUCAUCGAGAGAGCUGAGACGUGAAAGAAUGGACCAAUGGCAUUAGGACAUCGGUAUUCCCUUCUGGUGAAUGUAAAAUGAUAAUAAUUAAGCUUAUCCCCAUCUAGUUUCAAAUGAAUGAGAUUCAAACUGGGAUUUAUUUAUUAGGCUCUGUGCAAUUAUGAGGGGAUAACCCCUAAUCUAAUCCUCUAAUACUAGUCUCAGUGCUCAGAACUCCAGAGGCUCAUUUGGCCUUGGUGACAGUGGCAGUCAGGUGAGGCCAGCACCAGGUCUCCCCAUAACUCAUCACACCUCAGCAGGAUUCUCACUGCCAUUCUAGACUGUGGGGCCACACCAUAUACCUCUAACCUGAACCCAAUAUCAUCUCCCUGGUCCUGACAACCAAUCAGAGCUCUAGACAAUGCCAGAUAUUUCUUCAGUUUUACAGCUACCACAUUGGCCCUGGAAAUAGUAGCGCGCGCACACACACACACACACACACUGAAUCUAUACAAAUGAAUUGAUUUAAUAGAGGCCAUUUCAAAAUGCAUCAGACAAACCUGUAGUUUGAGAUGUUAAGGCCUCUUACUGGAGAAUCCUCCUCGCUGCAAAAUCCCUCUUCAAACCCAUAUUCCAAGGAGACUUUAGCCCUUGAGUAACAGCAAAGACCAGCCCUGCUAACAUGGCCUUAUUUGUUGUCUAGAGGCCUUUGGGGUAUAGGAGGCCAAAGGUGAGUUAACACCCACACCUGACCCAAAGCAUAGUUUGAAGCCUGCUGUCAGGACUGGUUUGGGUAGAAGGACUUUCACUCUCCCUCCCUAGAAAUCCUCAGAGGGAAAAAAAAAAAAACCUGCGUUUUCUUAACACUUCUUGGGAGUCACCUUAGUGACAUCCCCUCUGGUCCAGAGACCAGUGUCCUUGUGUGAUGACGGGACUUUGGAGUGAGUUGACUCAUUGUUUCAAGACAAAGGUUGUGUUCCUUGGCCAGGGUCAGAGCCUAGGCACAGACAACCUGGAUAUCCACACUAGCAGUAGGUUAACAGUUUUCUGAGUAUUUUUCUCACAAUAAUAAGUCAUGGCAUUCUCUCGGCAAUGUCAGAGACCCAAGGAUUUAUUGACUUUCCUCCUUAACCGCCCCCCCCCAUCUUGCAGUAUGUAUAUUCUUACACUGUAAGGAGUAGACACAUGGAGGCCAAGCACAUUGCUGAAGGGCGCUCUGUGAGCCGGCAGCGGAGCUAAGAAUAACCGAGACACCUGACAUUUUGAGCUGUGCUAAGCCUCAGAGCUUGUGCUGCUUCUAGAUGGCCCCAAAAAUCCUCUGAUGGCCCCAUUUGGGUCCUCACACAUAGAUGAAGCAUUCAGAAGCCACAGGAUUUAGCCCUUCAUCGCCUGACAAAGGUUCAGGCUUCCAGAAAAGAGCAAAGUGUUUUUCAGUAGUGAGGAGCUUGAUCCUGGCCCCUUCUGUAGGGCUUCUGACCCAAGGACAAGGCUAGGAAAACUUCCCCAUGAGGCCAAGAACUGUACUUGGCAUCUAUAAGCCUGGCAGAGGGUAAAACUUCAGAAGAAGCCAGCCAGGUGGGAGCCUGAGUAAGGAAGUAAGUGUCAGUAUAGGAUAUUCACAAGGGUAUGGCCAUGGAGCAGGCAGGGGACAGGCUCUGAAUGGCUACCUUUUCUCUGGUAAAUCCCCAGGAACACAGGCAAAAGAACCUGGCCUAGGAAACAAAGAUCAGUCUGUGACCAGGAAGCUUCUAUGGUCUUCUUGCUUUGCCUGAUAUCUCAGAUAUUCCAAAGGCCGGGCUAGCUUUCUGUAAUUGUCACCCCAUGACUAGAUAGGUCUGUGAAGGUGGCAGUCUGGAUGGUUAUUUGCCUGUCUGCUAGAGCUGAGGGACCAACCAUUAAAAAGCUAGACAGGGGCUGGAGAGAUGGCUCAGUGGUUAAGAGCACCCGACUGCUCUUCCAGAGGUCAUGAGUUCAAUUCCCAGCAACCACAUGGUGGCUCACAACCAUCUGUAAAGAGAUCUGAUGCCCUCUUCUGGUGUAUCUGAGGACAGCUACAGUGUACUUAUAUAUAAUAAAAUAAAAAAUAAAUCUUUAAAAAAAAAAAAAAAGCUAGACAGAAUGAGUCUCAUUGGUUUGAAAGCAAGAGGUGAGAUGUAGAGUAUAAAGACUACAAUUUGGAAACAACUUUUAUUUAGAAUAUAAGUAGGGUUGAGGUUGUAUCUUGAUGGUAGAAUGCUUACCUAGAAUCUAGGUAACCACUAGAAAGAAUGCUUACCUAGGAAGACUGAGGUCUCAGCCCCAGCGCUGUGCAAGCCGAGUGGAUAUUGUGGUGCACACACUAAGGAUCACAAGUCCAGGUUCAUCCUCAGCUAACUACCAAGUUUGGGCCAGUGGGGACAGCAUGAGAACUGUUUCAAAGCAAACAUACAUGGGGAAAAGGCAUAACACUGGAUGCAAAGCCUUGAACAAAGGCCACUGAAGUGUUUAGGUGCUCCUCAGUGCAUUGUGAAUAUGACUCUUCUGUUUCCAUACUAUGUGCCCAUACAAUAUAAAGAUAAUUGUAUUAUUUAAAGUAGAGAUUUUUGAUCCAAGACGGCAGCCAGCAAGAGGCUGAUGACGGAGCUUGAAGAGAUCCACAAAUGUGGAAUGAAAAACUUCCAUAACAUCCAUUGCUGAAGCUAAUUUAUUGACUUGGCAAAGGUUUAUUGUUCCUGACAACCCUCCUUAUGAUAAGUGAGCCUUCAGAAUUGAAAUCAACUCUUCAGCAAAGUAUCUAUUCAAACCACCCAAGAUCACAUUUAAAACAAAGAUCUGCCACCCUAAGUUUGAUGAGAAGGGGCAGGUCUGUCUGCCAGUAAUCAGUGCUGAAACCUGGAAUCCAGCCACCGAGACUGACCAAGUAAUCCAGUCCCUCAUAGCACUGGUGAACAACCCCCAGCCUGAGCACCCACUCUGGACUGACCUAGCUGAAGAAUACGCUAAGGACUGUAAAAAAUUCUGUAAGAAUGCUGAAGAAUUUACAAAGAAAUAUGGGGGAAAGCGUCCUGUGAACUAAAAUCUGCCAUGAGCAAUUCCAGCAAGUUUUAGCAGAUUCCGAGCAGUGCAUUGAGAUAACCCACAAAGCAGGACUCUGUGGAAACUAACACGUGCCACCAACUGGCGUCCAUUUGUGGCAGUUACUACCUUUCUACAGUUUUCUUAAUCAAAAGUGGUCUAGAUAACCUGUAAAGAAGGAUUGAAAAUUCAGAUAUUCUGAAAAAAAAUAGCAAUUUUACUGAAGCACAAGAGGUCAGUUUCAGGAAACCUGUCCUUGAUGCAUUUGUGCCUUUGAGUUUCUUUUGAACCCUAGGUAAGGCUAGUGUAAAACACACUUGGACCCCUCCCCCAAACACACUCAUUUAAGAGGGAACCCCUUUCCUCCUGAGGUAUUUAUGCAACCCCUGACCACCCACUACAUUUCCUUGCCAACCAGCAGAGAGGCAUGUUUGAUAGGUGAGAAAUAGGGCACUCGGUAAUGUACUAUAGCUGUCAAGUAGAACAUUGCUCUUGAGGUUCCCUCAGCACACACCUGUCCUUUGUGAUCACAGGCUGACCUUGUCCUGCUAGAGGGCCCACAUGAUGGGGUCACACAGAUACCCAGCAGAACAGACCCCCCCUCUCCUGCUGCCAUCCCCCUCCUGACAUGUAUCGCAUGGGCUCUUC